GAUGAACGCUAGCGGCAGGCUUAACACAUGCAAGUCGAACGAGAUGACGAGGCUUGCUUCUUAUGCUAGUGGCGCACGGGUGCGUAACGCGUAUGCAACCUCCCCCCAUCAGGGGGAUGUCCCUUAGAAAAACGGAUUAAGACCGCAUAAAAACACAGGAGAUCCUUAUCCAAUGUUCGAAUAUUUCUAGGAUUAAGAUGGGCAUGCGUGCCAUUAGCUAGUUGGCGGGGUAACGGCCCACCAAGGCGACGAUGACUAGGGGAUCUGAGAGGAGGACCCCCCACAGGGGUACUGGGCCACGGGCCAGACUCCUACGGGAGGCAGCAGUACGGGAUAUUGGAGAAGGGAGGAUAGUCUGAUCCGGCCAAGCCGCGUGCAGGAAGGCCGCGCUCGGGGUGGUAAACUGCUUUUAGUAGGGAGUAAACGUUUCUGCCGGUGGGAGGCUGACUGUACCGGAGGAAUAAGGAUCGGCUAACUCCGUG
rnacentral:rRNA from 1 species